GGAGAAGAAGAAUGGUUAGUCCCUCUCUCUCUCUCUUAUUUCCCUUUCCCUUUUGCAGAUAAUCGCAAAAUCCCUAAAUCCAACUUUCUUAGCUGCAUCCGAAGCCGAUUCGAUCGAUACUUCGUUCAUCUCAACAAUCACAGAAGGAAAUCAAGAAACUAAUGUCUCUAAAAGUGGUCCAAAACCCUCAUUGUCAUCUCCGUCGGACGCGUUUGACCCCACUGAUGCAUUAGAAUCCUUCCCUACACCGUCAAUUACUGAUGGGAAUCAAGGAUCUAGCGUGCAUCUACACACACAUCCACCUGAUGCAUGGCGUGGACUUCCACAUCGUGAAGUUGUCAUGCGUGUCCACAUAUAGAGAUGCAUGUGGAAAGAUUCUGUUCUUGCUUCUAUUAUUACCGUUUUGGUAUAUCUACAAAAAAUUGCAGGUAUGUGUCUAAUACAAUUUCUUUCUGCUAAUAUUUAUUCAUUAAUGAUGAGCAUACUUAGGAUGACGAUAGUAAAAACCCAAAUUAUUUAUUUUCAAGUUAAUCUGUAUGGUUUUAUGGUUAUGUCCAUUUUCCUAGUUUAUUUCUAAGAAAGUAGGCGAAACUAGUAUUUUUAAGAAAGCAGAAUAGCAGUAGGCAAAAGAGAGCGUGCAUGUAGGUAAUUUUCAAGAACCGAGCUGAAAAUCAUAUAAUUCUGUAGAGUUUUUAUUUGCAUAUUCAUAUGUCUAUGGGUAUGAUGAAGAAGGGGCACGUCAUACUGGUUUUGGUCCCCAGACGAGUCACGUUCUGAAAUGCUACUUAAAUCCAUGCCCAAUGGGGUACAUGGAGCCCACGAAUAAAUGAUAAUAAACAUCUAGUCAUUGUUUUUGCUGAAAAUACUAAUCAUUUUCACAAAUUAUUGUGGUAAUGAAAUAAGCACACUGCUGAUUUUGAAUUUGGAGCAUCACCACCAAGAAGCUAAACUGUUGUUUGGAAUAAUUCUGAGAUAUAUUCAAGGUUUUUCUUUGUUUGAGCCUGCUUAAACUUGAAGUUCUUCAUUUUCUAGCCAUUUUGGAGCUAUCUUGAUGUUUCAUUUUGGAUACAUUUUUAGUUUUCUGCUAAAUCAGUUGACAUAAGUGGAGAAUCUUUAUUCCACUUCAUUCUUGUGUUUGGAAGGUGUAUUUUUUUUUUUUUUUUGCGGUAAAUCCUAGAUACAAUAGAGCAUUAUGUUAUAGUAUUUCUAGAAUUGAGUUCACUCAAUCAUUUCAUGUAGAGAGAGUGGGUCCCACUAGUGUAUCUUGUACAUCUGUAUGACAUAUCUUGUAUGCUUAUGCACAUAUCUUGUCUGGCUGGGUAUUUAUACACAUAUACAAUGCAUAUUGAGUUGUAUAUGUUGUAUGAAGAGAUGAAUGAAAAGAUCGAAUUGGUUUUCAGCUCAUUGAAUUUAUGUUUUCAUAACUUACAAUAUUUGUGUGAGGUAUUAUCUGAUGCUGACUGAACAAAGUGACCAUAUUGUUUGGCACAAUAGCGAUAUAGGUGCACCUUUCUGUAAUUUAGAUUACUCAUCUGGUUUGCCAUCAUGCAAGCUAAUGUACAAAAAUCUCCUUUUCCUUGUAAUUCUAAACUUUUUUCCCAUUGAUGGGCUGCAAAGACAGUUUACCUAUGGCUCACUUUCAAUGGGGAAACAAUUCCACUGAUCAUAUAGGAAAGUUUUUCCAAUUGGGGAGAUUUUUUGGGGCACACCCCAUUCACAAUAUGUUCCACAAGAUGAAAUGGCCUGAGUCAUGGAAAGUUGGGCCCACCUGCACUGUUUCUUGCUGACAAAAGAAACUGCCAUUUAACACAGUCAAGCUUUCUAUCGUAAUCAUCAUCAUAACCUUUUUCCUAGCUAUUUGUGGUCCCCUUUACAGUUCUUACAUCACCAAUUGUUCCUAAGGCCCUGUCCUUGGGCCAUAUCAUUGAGGUUCAUAUAGUUCUUCUUCUUAUUUUAUACUCAUUGUCAGAUAUUUCUCAUAUUAUUUAUGUGAAGUAUAUCAUUUCAUGAUUUAGAUAAUGCUGCUUGUUUAUUUAGUGUCCAAUUUGAAAGAGUUGUUGUUUUGCCUUCUAUUUUUCAAGGUUUGCAAAGUGGCCCCCAUAGAAAUCCUCUCCCACAUGCACUUUACAAGCAAAAUAUGUGCCAAUAUGGCAUGUGUCCAGGAUAUCUGAUAGGAGCAUAGGAUGGGCUGCACCGUGCAGAUGAUGGUGACCAUCUAAUUUUGCUCUUGCAAUUUGAAGCACUCACUAUAUCAUUUUUAUCCAUCCAUUAAGAUAACCACCAUUUGGUUAGUUAGGAUUGAUUUAUCAUUUUGAUUUCCAACAUGCACCUUUCAAGAUGUGCCUUACAAUUUGAAUGGUCUAAAAAGUUGUACUUGUGUGCCCCGUGAGGAGUAACUGCCAAUUUCAGAAUGGUAACAACUCUUCCAACAGAACAUGGAAAAGUUAUAUGACAAUCUUGAUUAUACAAAUAACUUAACCGAUUGUGCUUUGAGCAUAAAACAGAAUUUCACCAACCACAAGAAAUUAGUCAUUUGAUUUUGCCUUGGAAUUUGAACCAUUCACUGUUAACCAUCCAUUUGAUAACCAUCAAUCAAAUGAUGAUUAUCUUUGAUUUAUUAAUGUGAAUUUUGAAAUGAUAAAUAGCCAUGCAUGAGUGCCACAUUUGAGGAAGAUG